UUGCAAAUCAAAGGCAUAAAGUAUGGCAAUCAGUAACAAGAGAAGGAAAAAUUUAGUCAAUCGGUGCCCUCAAUAGGUUGCGAGUAUGAUAAUGAAAACCGUUCCGCACUUGAAAACCGUUACUGCAGUCAUGUGAGAAAAAUGUACCAAUUUUGUGCUUAACAAGCAAUAUUUUGGAUUUCAUGGAAAAGGCCAUUUCUCAACUAGACAUCUGGUGAAAAACUUUUUCUUCACGAGCAAUCCAACACAUGCCAUUUCCCAUUCAGCCAAGAUUGAUUUCGUUGUCCGUUGGCACUGACAUCGGAAUGUCAUAUCUGCAUGAAAGUCAAAUAAAAUGAUUUCCAAUCAUUGUGAAAAGCGAAUUUCCCAUGAGCGAUCAAACCAUAAUUGAGUUCAAACGUAUCGUGAGAUCGAUGCAACCAUGGACGAGUAAAGCGCCAAAUUACCACUGGAUCAUAUUUUAGAGUUUAUUUGGGAAAAUAAAUAAUUUCUUUUAUUCCAAUUCAAGCAUGAAAAAAAGUCAUCAGGGUUUCAUUUCCUUUUUUGACCGUCAAUUUUAGAUGAUUACGAUGGUAGAAUAGCUUUUUGGUCACAACGGUGUUCAGCAUUCAGACUUGAAACAGCGGUGACGAAUGAAUUCAAUUUCAAAUUAACUAGAUAUGGACCGAAAUUUUUUUUAAUGGAUAAACAACAACUAUGCACUUGAUCUGGAGAAAUUUGCAAAAUUCAAUUGAAGUGAUUUAUUGAAUUUGACAUUCUUUUUUAAGUUCUAACGAGGCCCCUUGGACUUUAAAUAAAAUUUGAGCUACGUAGGCCUUUCUAAGUAGCAAACGGUUUUACAAGGUUAAAAAUGAUUGCAUCUUUUCCUGCUAAAUCUUUACACUUUUACGACCCGACCAAAACAUUGAAUACUGUAUCCAUUUCAUUUUGUGUUAAGCAUUGAAAGUUUAAUAUUUUGCCCUCAUUGAGGGGGUUUCAUGCUCCAAAAUUCAUG